UCGGGAGUAGCAAUACUUGCCGGCGACCGGCGCAAGGGUGCGUAACGCGUGAGCAACAUGCCCGUAUCAGGGGGAUAAUCCAUGGAAACGUGGUCUAAUACCCCAUAGUAAUUAUGUAAGGCAUCUUAUAUAAUUUAAAGCUUUGGUGGAUACGGAUUGGCUCGCGUGACAUUAGCUGGAUGGUAAGGUAACGGCUUACCAUGGCUACGAUGUCUAGGGGUUCUGAGAGGAAGGUCCCCCACACUGGAACUGAGACACGGUCCAGACUCCUACGGGAGGCAGCAGUGAGGAAUAUUGGACAAUGGAUGGAAAUCUGAUCCAGCCAUGCCGCGUGCAGGAAGACGGCCCUAUGGGUUGUAAACUGCUUUUGUAUGGGAGCAAUAAGGGCUACGUGUAGUCCGAUGAGAGUACCAUACGAAUAAGCACCGGCUAACUCCGUGCCAGCAGCCGCGGUAAUACGGAGGGUGCAAGCGUUAUCCGGAUUUAUUGGGUUUAAAGGGUGCGUAGGCGGUUUGAUAAGUCAGCGGUGAAAUAUUUCAGCUUAACUGGAAGGGUGCCGUUGAUACUGUCGAGCUUGAAUUUAGUUGCUGUGGGUGGAAUGUGUGGUGUAGCGGUGAAAUGCAUAGAUAUCACACAGAAUAUCGAUUGCGAAGGCAGCUCACAAAGCUAAUAUUGACGCUGAUGCACGAAAGUGUGGGGAUCAAACAGGAUUAGAUACCCUGGUAGUCCACACUGUAAACGAUGAUAACUCGCUGUCGGCGAUACAUAGUCGGUGGCCAAGCGAAAGCGAUAAGUUAUCCAC
rnacentral:rRNA from 1 species